ACAAAACGAUGGAUAUAAAAUUUGUAAAAAAAGGAAUCAUAUUUUGAACCUAAAAGGAUUUUAUUUUUAUAUUUAUUUUGUUUUUAUAUAUUUGUCCUGUGUUUACAUUAUACAUUAUUAACAUUUUAUUACAUUAAUGAUGAGAUUUUUUUUAGUUUUAGUAGAGUAUUUAUUUUUAUCUUUAUUUUUAUCUAUAAAUAUAAUAGUUAUGCAUUAUUUUUCCAAUUAACGUAUUUAUAUAGACUUCGUUCGUUCUGAUAUUCAUUUGCGGAAAUUAGAAACGUUAAACGAUGUUCAAAAUAGAACCACUUCAAGUGAGAAUAAUUUCCAAAACUGACUUGUCAAUAUAGAAGAUUCAAAUUUCCAUAAAUCAAAUUAAUUCUAGAAAUAACCAACUAUUUCUAUUUCUCGUUUUUAAUUUGCCGUGUAUAAAUAUUGCAUAUUCAAAGAUUGAAAUAGAUAUAUAAAAACAAUAAUUUUUAAUAUUAUUAAUAUUCAGGAUAAAUUACGUCAUUUAUAAAAUAAAAUAUCUUUCUUUUUUAUUUCUAUUUCUUCUUAAAAUAAAUGUAUUUAAAUAUUGAAAAACAUCAUUAAAUGAUAGAAUAGCCUUACAUCUAGAUUUAAUUAAUGAUACAAUGAAAAUAAACUCAAUUAAUAUAAUGACAAAUAUUUGAUAUACAAAAACAUCAAUGAUAUAUAUACACAUAUAUACACAAAUACAAUAAAAGAUUCAGCGUCGUAGGUAGUUUGAUUAAAAUGUUCUCGCAACUUUCCGUUUUUGUCCCACGUCUCGUUUGCACAAUUAUCUUAUAGUAAAUAAGUAGUAAAGCUACAAAAGUGCAAUCCGCAUAUGGAUGUUAAGGAUACAUAAAUGCAUUAUAAGUUCGCGGACGAAAACUGACGGGUCCAGACAGUCGAAAACGAAGAUGCAAGUUGUAUGGCGAUACACCGGCGCGAGAGUUUACAGCGUUAAAAAUCAAUCGCGGUCCACCGGCGGCGCGGCAUAAUGGAAACGCGUAUAAUUCGGCGCGCGAAUGACAUUAAUUUCCAGACGACCCGACACCCCCUCCCCUUUCCCCACCUGCACAUCUCGCGCUCGAAAUAAUCGCGCAAAUAGACACGUAACCGACCUGGGCAUCCAUAUUUCGCGAAGAGCAAGACGCGCCGCACGCUACGCCACUGGUCAUUGCACCGCGGGCGUCGCCAUUUUGUCAGAGCGCUCGCGCGCUGAGACUACGGCAACAAUGAGCGCGCGGGUGUGCGUGCGUGGGUCGCGCGGAGUCGCGUUGCCCGCGGGGCAGCGGCGCGAGGAUAAGGGGGACGAGGAGGGGAGCGAGGGGCAGCCACGUGACCCGCGGGACCGCGCUUCCGGAUUGGCCCGCCGGGGCGCUCCGGGUGACGUAAUAACGCGACGACGCGCCGACUGCCUAGGCUAGCGAUCGACGACAGACGUGAACGUGAACGGUGUCCACCCACUGUACCCGGGGGUUUGCGCACGUGUGUGCGUGCGCCCGCGCGCGGGAAAGAGAGCCAGUCGACGAACGGGUCGGGUUGCGCGCGACCGAGUGAAUUUGCCGAAUUUCGGCGGAUCCGCGCGUCGCGUGGCACUCCGCGCGCGGAUUUAUUCAGUAUCGCGGAUCGAACGGCGGGUUUCCCUCGGCCCAUCCAGGCGAGUGAUCGACGUUUCGAAAGCAGGUAUGAUAUGAUUCCCCAUUCGUUUCCCUGCGGGUUACACGGCUUUCGCUUUACUCGCCGCGACGACGGGCUUUCGGUUCGUAUAUUGUCAGAGAGGUUAUUUUUCCGAGAGUGUUCUCUUCACUCUCGCGCCGCAGUCAGCUCGCUUAGCAAUAAGUUUAUAAUUUUGUUGAGGAUUGUUUUACGGCUAAUUAUAGGUGACAUGACGUAUUUCAUUGAUUUCUAUAGAAAAAGAAGGUAUUCGUGUCAACGGAUAACGAAACGCAUAAUCGUCAAUGGUACAUGUGUGUUUUUUAAUUUUUUAUUUUUACUAUUUAUGGCGUGUGAAUUAAUAAGUGUUUUUUUUUCUGUUAUGUAAUAUGACAUAACUAUAUACGUAUUUACUGGAGCAUUUAUUAAUAUAAUAAUGUAUACACAGAAUUUAAUGAAAAACUAUGUAUGUAAUUAUUUUCUUGUUAUAUUAUAUUAUUAAUGAUUGCAAAUUAUAAUUUAUUACACGUGUGUUUUUUAAUUUUUUAUUUUUACUAUUUACAGCGCGCGAAUUAAUAAGUGUUUCUUUCUGUUAUGUAAUAUGACAUAACUAUACAUAUUUACUGGAGCAUUUAUUAAUAAUAAUAAUGUAUACACAGAAUUUAAUGAAAAACUAUGUAAUUAUUUUCUUGUUAUAUUAUGUCAUUAAUGAUUGCAAAUUAUAAUUUAUUUUUUGCGAUUAAUGCUUUCUCAAUACACUGCCAAGAAAAGUGUGAAACUAUGUUGAAUAUAUUAGGCAUAAUUGUGGGUUAUUACCUAUAAAUUAUCGCUUUCUUAAAUAUAAAAUAUUCACACGCCGAUUCGACACCGUCUAUCAUUAUCGAUUAUCUACUUUCUAUUAACACAUUAUUUUAUAUGCGUAUUCCAGAAUAUUCAUUCUCGUGGCUUUCCAAAAGUUGCAAUUUAAGUGAAAAGUGAGCAACAUUAUACACAAUAUUGAAUCAAAAUUUAAUAUUAUCAGUUGACUUUUACAUUUGUAAUAUUUUGAAAUCGGAACUAACAACAGAAGCAUCGCGUGGUUAUGGAACACCACGGUUUAUUUACCUUUUACUCUAUUAAAGCACAUUUUGUUGCAAAACAGCGAAACCGUGCAAUCGCUCUCUUGAUGUUACACCUACGUCUCUGGAACUUUUGUUUGGGUAGAACAUCCAUUAUUCACUGGAUGUUUAUCAUUUGAUACUCGCAAAUAAAUGCAAUUUUAAUUGCAACUAUGAAAUUUCAUAUUAAAAAAAAAAGUAUUCCGCUUCAGUGCCAUUUUUUAAGUCGCUGCGUCACAUUACGCACGCUGCUAUCUCUUUCACGGCUGGAAAAAAUUUACUCUCAAAUUGAAACUUAUGUAUUCAAAUUAACGCGAUCCUUGUUUCAUAUAUAAGCAACAAUAUAUAAUCUUCUUAGAAGAAUUUGAAAAUCUUGAAUUUCAAGAUAUUAUGUCUUAUUUCAAUACUAUAAGUAUUAUUUUAAAAAUAUGAUAUAAUUGUUUUGAUAAUUUUAUUCUAAGAAAAUUAUAUAAUUUUCGAUUUGAACAUGUAGUACUUUCUAUCCAACAUUCUUUUCUUUCCAUUCAAGAAAAUUAUUCUCAAAUAACAAGGUUCAAUCAUAUAAAAUUUUGAAAUGAAUCUUCAUUCAAGUAAAUCUUUUUGAUUUAACGCGAUGUAAUCUCAUUUCAAGAUUUCCGUUUUGAAAACUGGAGAUGUUGUCAAAGCAAGAACAUUCUUUUUUUUCGCGAUGGGCAUACAGAUAGAUAGGUGUUUAGAGGUGCGUUUAUCGGCGAUGAACCGGAGGCGUCCCGUGCAGCCUCCGGAUCUCCCGCGAUCCAUCUCGAUCUCUCGCCGCGGGUGUUGCACGACACGUGUGUUUUGCACGGGACGAUUCUCGAUUUGCAGGCCGACCGGCACGGAAAAUCGAUGAUCGAGAGAGGGAACGUCGCCGGGAUUUGCAAAACAAAAAGGAAAAAAGGGAAAAAAAAGCGCAAGGGUAAGCCUCCACUCGUAGUGGGGGUAACGAACCGGCACAGGAGAGAGAGAUCGAGCACGAGUCCUCCAGCAUUCCGUCACGGGCGCUCGUGACCGGCGGAUGUGUUUGCGUCGCCGUUAUAGGCGUACGCCUCUCGCUGGGAGAAACGUGCGGCGGCGGCGUUUCCCCCCCGUUUCUUUUUUUUCGCGGGGACGUGUCCGGCGGCCAGUGAUGUGGAAAAUUCGAGGGACGGCCGUUUCGGACGAUCUACGAGGUAUCCGCCGAUCCGCGGACCCCGCAAAUCGCCGAUUUGUAUUCCGACGUCGACCGGAUUUCCAAAAAACCUUAGAAACGGCAAAAGCUGCGCCGCGGCAUUGGGAAGGCGGGCGAGAAUCACGAUAGCGAGGAAUCAGGUAAGUGGAAAUCUGUGGGGAAAAGUUUGGUAGGGCGGAAAGGGAUUUACUUUUCGCGUGAAGCAUCGAUUUAAAAUUGGACGUGAAACGUAGUUACCGAUAUUGCCUCUCGACCGGCUGAGAGAUUGCGGUGAGCGAAGGCGAGCGAGAGAGACGGCGAGGAGGAAAGAUAUCGCUGCCGGAGUUGCUCAUCCCGACGUCCGAUACGUGCGAUGUAAUAAAAUUAUGAUCGGCCAGCCCCUUCCAUCCAUUCGUCUCAAUCAUUUCCUCGCAAAGAUUGACGAGCGCGCGCGGUAUUCCCGCCACUUCCGAUUCUCGCCUCUCCAUUCGUACGUUCGUUCCCGCUGUCCUUUUUUUUUUUUCUUUCGCCGCUGCACUGGAAACGUUUUACUGCCGCGUGAUUGAUUUUAAAGUCCCAUUAUAAUCGACCCGGUACUUACGCGAGUAUUCUGAAAUUAAUUCUGGCUCCCUUUUGCGAAUCUCCUCACCUCGCAAUAAAGAUACCGCGGCAGUGGGGGGCAAUAAAACGCGUAUCGACGUAAUCACGAUUGUUAAUCAAGAUGCUUUAAUUACAGGACUAUGCAAGAGAGCGAGAGAGAGAGAGAGAGAGAGAGAAUUCCUUGUUGCAGUCGUCCGAAACCUGCGUCACAAAUAUCCUGCGAUCGAGCUCUUUAUGCUUUUGAUUGUUGCUCAGAAAGCCUUGUUGACGAUAUUGGCUUUCGGGCAAUAAUCAUAAUCACGGAAGAGCUGAUUAUCAUCGUUAUCUACUAUUGUCUAUUAUUAUAUCGUUAUCUGUACUGUUAUAUUAUGAUAUUAUAACGAGAAAUUAUAUUUUUAUCUUAGAAAGAAAAUGUUAUGUAUUUACAUCUAACUUUUGUUUAUAUCUGUAUUACGGAAUUAAGAAUCCUAUUUAACAUGUUUAUUAUGUCUCGACGAAUACAAGCGCUAGCGAAUCAAUGUUUGAAAAGAAUAAAAUGUGAUAUGUAAGUA
rnacentral:lncRNA from 1 species